rnacentral:rRNA from 1 species
GUCUACAGCCAUGCCACACUGAACGAGCCCGAUCCCAUCUGAUCUCAGAAGCUAAGCAGGGUCGGGCCUGGUUAGUACUUGGAUGGGAGACCACCUAGGAAGACCAGGUGCUGUAGGCA